rnacentral:rRNA from 1 species
GGGUCAUUAGGUUGGUCGUGCCACCGGUACGUACUGGUCUCACUGAUUCCUCCUUCCUGAAGAACCGUAAUGCCAUUAAUUUGGUGUUGCGGGGAAACAGGACUGUUACUCUGAAAAAAUUAGGGUGUUUAAAGCAAGCUAACGCUUGAAUACAUUAGCAUGGAAUAAUGAAAUAGGACGAUCGAUCCUAUUUUGUUGGUUUCUAGGAUUGACGUA